rnacentral:rRNA from 1 species
GAUGAACGCUGGCGGCGUGCUUAACACAUGCAAGUCGAACGGUGAAGCAGGAGCUUGCUCUUGUGGAUCAGUGGCGAACGGGUGAGUAACACGUGAGCAACCUGCCCCUGACUCUGGGAUAAGCGCUGGAAACGGCGCCUAAUACUGGAUAUGUGAUGUGACCGCAUGGUCUGCAUCUGGAAAGAAUUUCGGUUGGGGAUGGGCUCGCGGCCUAUCAGCUUGUUGGUGAGGUAAUGGCUCACCAAGGCGUCGGCGGGUAGCCGGCCUGAGAGGGUGACCGGCCAAACUGGGACUGAGACACGGCCCAGACUCCUACGGGAGGCAGCAGUGGGGAAUAUUGCACAAUGGGCGGAAGCCUGAUGCAGCAACGCCGCGUGAGGGAUGACGGCCUUCGGGUUGUAAACCUCUUUUAGCAGGGAAGAAGCGAAAGUGACGGUACCUGCAGAAAAAGCACCGGCUAACUACGUGCCAGCCGCCGCAGUAA